UCUUUAAAAAUUUUAAUUCAAUGUUCAUUAUCGUUAUAUUUAAUACGGAAUAUUAAAAAAUUGCAACACAUGGCGAAUUUCCUCGAAAUUUUUCCACAGCAGAAGUUGACUCCAGUUUCAUCACAGAAUUUAAAAUUAAAAUGAACGUUGGGAGAGAGCUGUGGGACACUCUAUAUUUACUUCCGACCAAUCUUCUCGUAAGAAAAAUGUUGUGUCUUGUCUCACAUUACGGAUGAUUUCUGAUAUAGAUUGCUGUAGGUAUUCGCUGCGUAAUUCGACGGAAAAAUAUCGAGCAACGCUUUCUAUACGACGCUUAUCCUCGCGACGAUCGAAAACCAGAAAGGAAACUCGCGAACUACCCGUUCAACAUAUUUGCACGUAUCGUGCGAGUUAGACGUCAUCGUCGUCGUCGUCGUCGUCGUCGUCGUCUAUUCGGAAUGUAUAUUGCAAACGGUAUUCGUCAACGUUCCUUCUAAGAACGUUAAACCGCGAGGAAGUUCGCUCACGAAUCGCGAGACCGGCUUGGAAACGUUUCCCGUUUCUGCACUGUGCUUUUGAUGUGAGCGAUCGAUGCGCGAACGGUUUGCGUACUUCGACCGAAUGCCGCGGUUUGGCAUCAAAGCCCGCCGCCGGAAAAACUAGUUGAUCAAACAAACAAAAUUCGAAGAAAUAGUUAAGAACGUUGCGAACUGGGAAGCAACUUUGCGUCGCCGUUGCCAGAGACCCCGUAACGUUAUAGUUCAUCUUUCACAUAAGCGAGUAUUGAUUUUCCGCGGCAAGUGCGACACGCUUUUCGACAGUCACGUCGCUCGAAUAAGACGACUCUUCCGGCAGGAUCAUCAGAUCGAGAAGACACCGCUCGACAAUUGACAAUCCGCUCGCGAAAUUUCGCUCCUAAACACAUGACGGACAAACAAAGUGGACGCGUGAACUAUCGACAAAAAUUCGAGUCCCCGCUUUGUGUCGUCCGUGUGUUCUCUUUUUUUCUCCCCGUUGGAACAUUCGUUAGGACACAAUACGUGUGUGUUUUGUCGGAAUUUUAAAUACGAGAAAGACACGUACGUGCGAACGCAAAAUAUUUUUCUUGCCUCACGCGGCCGCAAUGUAAAAAAUUGAAGUGUAGCUAAUUGUCCCCGCGCUCAGGCAGAUUAACAAUGAACGAACGAACGAACGAAACUAACGCCAGCGCGAAUAUUUGAUGGGUUAUCCGUUUUUGGCAGCUCUGCGCGGACAUUGCCCAAGAUAGUUUUCAUGCGCGGUAAGUCCGCGAGCGAAAUCCGCGAGUAUUCCAAGUUUUAUAAUUACGUAAAUUAUUAGCAACGAGUGCACAUUCAAUUAUAGCUGGCAUCAUUAAGUAUUUAGCGUCACUCGCGGACACGUAAUGUUGCAUCGUGUCGCUAUAUCGAAUGAUUAAAAAAACAUUCCGAUAACUCGGCUACACACACACGCGCGCGCGCGCGCGCGCGUGCAACCGUGAUUAUGUCGUGAUAAUAACGCAGUUACAUGCAUUUUAAAUUAACGUAUCUUCCGAAAUAAUAAAAUAAUAAAGACACGAGAUAUAAUGUGAUACUAUUACAUCCGCGGUGUGUAACGGGUUUAGAGGAAGUGCGUUAAUUAUUUCCGCCGACGUUGAAAUUACCUUCACGUGGCUUCAAAUGCGCACGCGCUCUUCUAAAUUACUAUUAAGCGUGCAUAAAUGUUUUUGUGUGCGAUCACGUUGAGCAAUCUUCAUUUUAAUAAUUUGCUGCGGCAUUGUGACAGCGCGCGCAGCGAUAACGCGUUAAAAACGUUGCCGCGGGAUCGCUGCAACAGAUGCUGCAACAGGGAUGUAACGGCUGUAACAGCGCGCGGAGGAAGACAGAGGAGGAGAAAGGAGGAGAAUCCAUUUUUACGCUGUCCCGGUGUAACUCGCCAUUUAUCUUCCAGCUGCGCCCAUCACGUACUUGUCCGGCGAGUUCGAGAGUUCGUAGCGGAGACGGAUGUCUCUCGUGGAAAUCAGACUCGAAAGAUCGAUCGAACGGCGAAAGAGCUAGCCGCGCUCUGUCUUUACAUCUUUCUCUUACCUGGCACUUCCUUCCGGAUUCCUCGCAUCGCUGAUCUGCUUAUUGGCGCUCCGCGGUCGACUAAUCUUCCUUAACGCGCGCCACCCCCGGCAACCGAUUCCCUUUCGGAUACUUUGUUCGACGGUUUUCCGAGCACUUUCCAUACGCCGAUCCCGCUGCAUCUGUAAUCCGUGCCAAUUAAUGCAAGAGUGUUCGUGGAUGAUCGAGCUGUUUGGUUACCGCGUUCUAAAUAAACCUGCUUUUAUCCCGCGGGAACUGACGGCGAUGUCACGGAGUUCCUUUAUGUUUGUUCGAGAGAUGUAGGUAGAGAUUUCCCUCCAGCGAGGAAUUAUUCAGGAUUUUCAGGAAUUAAAUCACAGACAGGCAAUUUGAUUAUGAUUAUCGAAAAAUUGCCUUCAAGAAUGGAUCAUCUCGGGAAGGAAUAGUUUUGCAGGAGUGGAUGCUGUAAUCAAGCGUAUCGGUUCAUUGAGAGUCAACGAGAAUCGGAUAUCAUUCUGCGCGUCUUCGUCACCGAUAAACACGUUUUUUUCAGGGGCAUUACACCCCCGUGCUCUCGUGAAGGCACUAACGUGACAGACAAACGACGUCGCGACGUCUGGAAUGCCGGAAUGGACUCAUCGAGCGACCGCACGGAAGACGGAUGCUCCUCGCAGAAAUCAGACUCGAUGGAUCGAUCGAACGGGGGAAAAAAACCUGCCCCUCAUUUCUUAUUGUCCCCAAGCUGUUUCUGUCUUUCUCCCUUCUCAGCCGAUGCUCCAUCUCCCUCUCUCUCUUUCUUCCUGAUAUUCUCCGAUGCUCGCGCGAUCUUCACACGAACGUCAGAAGGGCCGGGCACCUUCUUGUCGUAUUUGGUAUGUUCGGGCAAACUCGUCCAUUGAGCUUGUCGCACCAGGGAGACACCCUCUCAAAGGAGACAAACGCCCCUCGCGAAAAUCAAACUCGAGGCAUCGAUCAAAUGCGAAUGGACCUUUCUACCUCUUCCCGAUGUCGAAGUUUUCGAAGCUUUUUCUCUCUGUGGUGAUUCGUUGUUCGCUUUGAGUAAGAUUAGUAAGUGAUCAGUAACGCAUGCAGUACUUUUAUAUUCCGUUUAUUUAUGCUGUAUAUAGUGAGAACUUAUAAGAAAAUCUUAUAUGAAAUUUAUUAUAUUGUAGUUAUUUUUAAACAAAAGGAUAUUAUUAUGCUGCAUUUUUCUCCUCUGGUUUACUUAUUUUUCACAGGUUGUUUAUUGUUUCAAUCAUACCUUUAAUGAAAUUCUUCAAAAUAUUGAAUCAUUGCUUGACAAUUAUUUGCCAAAUAACUAUUAAACGAUCGGUAACUCUUGGUUAACAAAUAAUUUAUCUUACUUCCUUAAAUUCAUGGAACUUCUUGUUCUAAUCAACGGCGCGUUGUUAAUGGCACUUUCGAUAAAAACCCUGUAACGUGUUUGUUUCUCGUAUUUGUUUCUUACUUACUGCGACUUGAUGCAUCCCUUCCGCAAGAUACUACCGUGGUGGUAGCAUUCGGUAUCUCGACACAGAGGGGUUGCCUUAUCUGUCCGAGGAAUUUCAAUUUAGAACCGCUGCUAACAAGGUCUCAAGGCCCGUUCUACGAAACCUAUACAAUUGCAUUUUGUCCUGGCAAGAAGGCUUUUGUUGCCACGACUCUGCGCAUUUUAGAAUUUGGUUUCCGGUUGACAUAUGAGAUUCCGAUAAGACAUUUAUUUUUCAGCUGCGUCCGCAUACUUAUCUGCAGGGUUGCAUCAUUUCGAUCACGCUGACAUUCCUGCUGCUUAUGUCAGUAUCUAGUAUUGUCGAAAUUGUUACAACGACGCUCUCUGGGAUUAAAGUCAGCUCACACAAUCGACGGCGGCUUCGGAGUUAAACGCUCAUCCCGAAAAUCAAACCUGAAAGAUCGAUCAAACGGAAAAAAGCGGCUCUUUGCCUUUCCGACCCCGUAUUCCUUUGUCCUCGAUCGCAUCUCCGCACCAUACAGAGUGAUAUGUAAUAUGAAACACAAGAUAUAGAGUAUAAAAAAAACGAAACAACAAAUUUAUACAUUUUAUCUGCACCAGGCGAGAAUGGCGCGUGUACCCUUAUCUCGGGCUGAGAUAAACUCAAACGGCCGCAUUUAGCGCUCGACGCGGGAUAUGGAUGCGGACACCGUCGGAUUUGUUUCCCCCGCUUUCCUCAAAUCCAUUUUAGAAGUACUUUUCUCGCGACACUCUGUACAUGUGUAUACAUAUAUACAUACAUACAUACAUACAUACAUACAUAUGUAUACAUAUAUAUAGAUAUAUAUACUAUAUAUACGGGAGCGUACACGUUUCAUCCCCCUGUGUGGUCCACCAUGCCGUAAACGGCGAUUCCCUUGACGCUUCUCCCUCGUCCUUGAGAGAAAAGACGAGCGGCCGGUUCCUCUCGUUGCGUCAUAAGGUAUUCGUUCGAGUGGACUCCAUCGUGUGUGUGCAAGGAGCUCGCUAGCUGCAAGCACUAGGUACCGGCAUGGCACUCGAUGCUGAUCGCACGGAGCUUGAGGGGAAGAGAAUGCGAAACAGAGAGAAACGGACAGGCAGAGAGGAAGAGGAAAAGGGUGGAGGAACCCGUGUCCCUUGCUGCAGAGAACAGGAACGAACGGACCAGGAAAGGGCGAAAGAACGAGAUCGGCGUCGCUGGCGUAGUGCCGUAAGGCGGUCCUCGAGAACCUCGGACUUCCAUCCUUUAAAUGACUGGCGACUGUCAAGCCCACGAGGCUCGAAUUUAAUACGCGAGGGGUUUUGGCUCGUGACGCGCGCGUUUAUCCCCCUCCGUGUGUGUGUGUGCAUGCCCGCGCACGUUUACGCAACGACGUGGGACAAGCGUAGACGUUUACACGCAGGCUGGCGCGUUUAUGAUCGUCACGCGUAUACACGUGUACAUGUGUAUGCGUUAGGUGCACUGCGUAACGCGUACGUAUGCAUACGUAUGCAGCGACGACGCGCCUUCAAGCGUGUCCCACGAGCGUUUUUAGCGGAGCGUGAGCUUUAAAAAUGGUACCGCCGCUAUCACGGAGUGGCCGCCUCGUUUGUCACGAGAAAUUUAGUGUCAUUAUGUUCUCCUCUCUUCGCCGACGACGGGCGACGCGCAUUAGAGAACGAUCUCGCGUUCAUAGUCGCUGACUGCCGAAAACAGCGACACGCUUGUGCGGAUGUUACGAGAAAGAAAUCUUGAUAGGAUAUCGUAGUGACUUU
rnacentral:lncRNA from 1 species